GUUGUAUGGUUAAGUGACUAAGCGUACACGGUGGAUGCCUGGGCAGUCAGAGGCGAUGAAGGACGUACUAACUUGCGAUAAGCGCAGAUAAGGCAGUAAGAGCCGUUUGAGUCUGCGAUUUCCGAAUGGGGAAACCCAACUGCAUAAGCAGUUACUGUUAACUGAAUACAUAGGUUAACAGAGCAAACCGGGGGAACUGAAACAUCUAAGUACCCCGAGGAGAAGAAAUCAACCGAGAUUCCGGUAGUAGCGGCGAGCGAACCUGGAUUAGCCCUUAAGCGCUCGGUGAAGUAGGUGAACAAGCUGGAAAGCUUGGCGAUACAGGGUGAUAGCCCCGUAACCGACGCUUCAUCGAGCGUGAAAUCGAGUAGGGCGGGACACGUGAUAUCCUGUCUGAAUAUGGGGGGACCAUCCUCCAAGGCUAAAUACUCCUGACUGACCGAUAGUGAACCAGUACCGUGAGGGAAAGGCGAAAAGAACCCCUGUGAGGGGAGUGAAAUAGAACCUGAAACCGUGUACGUACAAGCAGUAGGAGCACCUUCGUGGUGUGACUGCGUACCUUUUGUAUAAUGGGUCAGCGACUUAUAUUCAGUGGCAAGGUUAACCGUAUAGGGGAGCCGUAGCGAAAGCGAGUCUUAACUGGGCGCUCAGUCUCUGGAUAUAGACCCGAAACCGGGUGAUCUAGCCAUGGGCAGGUUGAAGGUUGAGUAACAUCAACUGGAGGACCGAACCGACUAAUGUUGAAAAAUUAGCGGAUGACUUGUGGCUAGGGGUGAAAGGCCAAUCAAACUCGGAGAUAGCUGGUUCUCCCCGAAAGCUAUUUAGGUAGCGCCUCGGACGAAUACUACUGGGGGUAGAGCACUGUUAAGGCUAGGGGGUCAUCCCGACUUACCAACCCUUUGCAAACUCCGAAUACCAGUAAGUACUAUCCGGGAGACACACGGCGGGUGCUAACGUCCGUCGUGGAGAGGGAAACAACCCAGACCGCCAGCUAAGGUCCCAAAGUAUUGCUAAGUGGGAAACGAUGUGGGAAGGCUCAGACAGCUAGGAUGUUGGCUUAGAAGCAGCCAUCAUUUAAAGAAAGCGUAAUAGCUCACUAGUCGAGUCGGCCUGCGCGGAAGAUGUAACGGGGCUAAGCAAUACACCGAAGCUGCGGCAAUGUCUUUUAGACAUUGGGUAGGGGAGCGUUCUGUAAGCCGUUGAAGGUGAAUCGUAAGGUUUGCUGGAGGUAUCAGAAGUGCGAAUGCUGACAUGAGUAACGACAAAGGGGGUGAAAAACCUCCUCGCCGGAAGACCAAGGGUUCCUGUCCAACGUUAAUCGGGGCAGGGUGAGUCGACCCCUAAGGUGAGGCCGAAAGGCGUAAUCGAUGGGAAACGGGUUAAUAUUCCCGUACUUCUGACUAUUGCGAUGGGGGGACGGAGAAGGCUAGGUGGGCCAGGCGACGGUUGUCCUGGUUCAAGUGCGUAGGCUUGAGAGUUAGGUAAAUCCGGCUCUCUCUAAGGCUGAGACACGACGUCGAGCUGCUACGGCAGUGAAGUCAUUGAUGCCAUGCUUCCAGGAAAAGCCUCUAAGCUUCAGAUAGUCAGGAAUCGUACCCCAAACCGACACAGGUGGUCGGGUAGAGAAUACCAAGGCGCUUGAGAGAACUCGGGUGAAGGAACUAGGCAAAAUGGUACCGUAACUUCGGGAGAAGGUACGCUCUUGAUGGUGAAGUCCCUCGCGGAUGGAGCUGACGAGAGUCGCAGAUACCAGGUGGCUGCAACUGUUUAUUAAAAACACAGCACUGUGCAAAAUCGCAAGAUGACGUAUACGGUGUGACGCCUGCCCGGUGCCGGAAGGUUAAUUGAUGGGGUUAGCGCAAGCGAAGCUCUUGAUCGAAGCCCCGGUAAACGGCGGCCGUAACUAUAACGGUCCUAAGGUAGCGAAAUUCCUUGUCGGGUAAGUUCCGACCUGCACGAAUGGCGUAAUGAUGGCCACGCUGUCUCCACCCGAGACUCAGUGAAAUUGAAAUCGCUGUGAAGAUGCAGUGUACCCGCGGCUAGACGGAAAGACCCCGUGAACCUUUACUACAGCUUGGCACUGAACAUUGAACCUACAUGUGUAGGAUAGGUGGGAGGCUAUGAAGACGUGACGCCAGUUGCGUUGGAGCCGUCCUUGAAAUACCACCCUUGUAUGUUUGAUGUUCUAACUUAG
rnacentral:rRNA from 1 species